ensembl:lncRNA
AGUAUCUUUAUUUCAAGCCCUGAAUGUCCUGAAGCAAGCGUAAAAGCAAUGGUAUAUAGCCAUUGUGUUAGCUGGGUACCUAGGCUAACUUUGUUGGACUUAGAAACAAACUCUCAGAAUGGAACUCAGUCAUAUAUAGAGGACUUACUGUACUGACAUGAAGACAAUCACUGCUCUGCUUCUGUCUUCCAGGGGGCUUUCUGAAUCACAUUAUCUCUCUUUGUAGUCAAUUGGAACUCGCUGAAAUCUAUGCAGAAAGUAGAAUCCCUCAGGCCUGUGGAGUCAGAGAAGAGGAAGGAAGCCAGAGGAGAAGCUGGAGCAGACUUCCAUGUGCUACAGCGGGGGUUACGGCAGAUGGUGUUAACAGAUCCACUUACCACCACCAUCACCCCAGAAUCCACAUCUUGUGUCAUGAGACUCUGAGGUUCAUCUCACUAAAAGGCAGAAAGCCAGAAGUACCUGGGGAUUCACGCAUAAACUAAGAAACAGCAAGGGCAGGCGAACAUCUCCAAGCUGCAGGCCCCUGUCGGAUGACCAGAGACUCAGAGGCUUAAAGCUACACAGGCUACACAUGAUGGGCUCAACACUCCGGGCUAAUGGGGUGUUAACAGUGCUGCCAUCUGCCAGGAGGCCCCGUCCUGCUUCUCGACUUCUGAGCCCUCCCUCCGUCUUCGUCUUCAAGGCCAUCUCCCAGAGUAGUCAGCUCCCUCUCAGUCUCCGACUGCUGUCUCCAUCUUUCAUUCGCAAAGGCCCUUGUGAUGGCAUUGGGCUCUCUUGGAUAAUCCAGGUAAUCUCUCUGGCUCAAGAUCCUUAAUUUAAUCGCUGCUGUGAAGUUCCUCCUGCCAUGUGACAUACCGUACUCAUAAGCUCCAGAGAUGGAAUGGGACGUUUUUGAGGGGAAGGGGUAUUAUUUGCUUAUCACAUUUGCCAUCCUUCAUCCUUGACCGUCCCCUGCCCCCAACUCUCAUACAAGUUCCCUCCCACCCGAGCAGCGUUUCCUCAAUAAAUCACUUACAUAAGAAUCAUUGUCUAAGGAUAUGUUUUGGGGAAACAUGACCAAAUACAGGGCAAUUGGAAAUAAAAAAUGAUGACUAUCCAUUAAAGCCAAG